ACUGUUCAAUGAUGAGGCCAUGGAAUAUGUGCUGGUCACAGCAUCCGACAUCCAUGAGGAAUCAUUCCAUGCUGCCUUCCUUCUGAGAACAGC
ensembl:snoRNA SNORD83A small nucleolar RNA, C/D box 83A